GCUAAACGCGAAGAACCUUACCAAGGCUUGACAUGCACGGGAAGCCACCAGAGAUGGUGGUCUCUUUGGACACUCGUGCACAGGUGGUGCAUGGUUGUCGUCAGCUCGUGUCGUGAGAUGUUGGGUUAAGUCCCGCAACGAGCGCAACCCUUGUCCUUAGUUGCCAUCAUUAAGUUGGGAACUCUAAGGAGACCGCCGGUGACAAACCGGAGGAAGGUGGGGAUGACGUCAAGUCAUCAUGGCCUUUAUGGCCAGGGCUACACACGUGCUACAAUGGCAGGUACAGAGGGAAGCCAACCGGCGACGGGGAGCUAAUCCCAGAAAGCCUGUCUUAGUCCGGAUUGCAGUCUGCAACUCGACUGCAUGAAGUUGGAAUCGCUAGUAAUCGCAGAUCAGCAUUGCUGCGGUGAAUACGUUCCCGGGUCUUGUACACACCG
rnacentral:rRNA from 1 species